ACUUAAAUUGAAGAGUUUGAUCAUGGCUCAGAUUGAACGCUGGCGGCAGGCCUAACACAUGCAAGUCGAGCGGUAGCACAGAGAGCUUGCUCUCGGGUGACGAGCGGCGGACGGGUGAGUAAUGUCUGGGAAACUGCCUGAUGGAGGGGGAUAACUACUGGAAACGGUAGCUAAUACCGCAUAAUGUCGCAAGACCAAAGUGGGGGACCUUCGGGCCUCAUGCCAUCAGAUGUGCCCAGAUGGGAUUAGCUAGUAGGUGGGGUAACGGCUCACCUAGGCGACGAUCCCUAGCUGGUCUGAGAGGAUGACCAGCCACACUGGAACUGAGACACGGUCCAGACUCCUACGGGAGGCAGCAGUGGGGAAUAUUGCACAAUG
rnacentral:rRNA from 1 species